AUGCAGCCAUGCCGCGUGUAUGAAGAAGGCCUUCGGGUUGUAAAGUACUUUCAGCAGUGAGGAAGGCGGGUACGUUAAUAGCGUGCUCGUUUGACGUUAGCUGCAGAAGAAGCACCGGCUAACUCCGUGCCAGCAGCCGCGGUAAUACGGAGGGUGCGAGCGUUAAUCGGAAUUACUGGGCGUAAAGCGCAUGCAGGUGGUUUGUUAAGUCAGAUGUGAAAGCCCGGGGCUCAACCUCGGAAUUGCAUUUGAAACUGGCAGACUAGAGUACUGUAGAGGGGGGUAGAAUUUCAGGUGUAGCGGUGAAAUGCGUAGAGAUCUGAAGGAAUACCGGUGGCGAAGGCGGCCCCCUGGACAGAUACUGACACUCAGAUGCGAAAGCGUGGGGAGCAAACAGGAUUAGAUACCCUGGUAGUCCACGCCGUAAACGAUGUCUACUUGGAGGUUGUGGCCUUGAGCCGUGGCUUUCGGAGCUAACGCGUUAAGUAGACCGCCUGG
rnacentral:rRNA from 1 species